ensembl:lncRNA
AUGUGGGGCCUCCCCCUGGCUCGCUUGGCCACCGCCCUCUGCGCCCUCCUGGCCACCCGCCUCACCGCCCAGGACCCCUCCGCGGCCACCACCAAGGACCACCAGGUGGCCACCGCCACCUUCACCGCUUCUGCCCCAGUGGCCACUGAGGACCAGCAGCUGGCCACCACCGGGGCGCUACCGGAGACCAGCCCGAGGGCGUCCCAGCGGCCCAAGAGUCACCUCGGGGACCUGGUGGCCACCACCGAGGACCACCAGGACCCCGUGGCUGGCUCCCGACCAGCUUUGAAGAGCAGCGGUGGCCACCACGAGGGGCCGGAGGCCACCAGUAGCCACCACCAUGCCGUCAUGGAGGCCACCCUUUGGAUGACCACGGUGGCCACCACCGGUGGCCACCAACCGAUGGUGGAGCCCACUGUUGAUCGCCAAGUUGUCGGGGACCUCACCAGUCACCAGCCACCCUUGGAGGCCACCAGUGGCCACCGGCAGGAGGUGCUGGCCACCACUGAAGCCCAGUUGACCUCAUGGGUCCCCAUGGGCCACCAGCCAACGUUGGAGGCCACCACCAGCCACGACCUGAUUGUGGAGACCACCAGUGAAGACCAAAGGACCUCCUUGGUCUUCACUAGCCAACAGCCAACGUUAGUGGCCACAGGUGGCCACCAACCAUCUUGGAAGACCACCGUUGGCCACCAACCAACUUUGACGACCACCGUUGGCCACCAAUCACCUUGGAAGACCACCGUUGGCUACCAAUCGCCUUCGAAGACCACCGUUGGCCACAAAUCACCUUGGAAGCCCACCCAAGGCCACCAACCACCUCGGAAGACCACCGUUGGCCACCACCCAACCCCGGUGGCCACCGUCGGCCACCAGCCAACCCUUGAGGCCACCGCUGGCCACCACCCAACCCCGACGACCACCAAGCUCCUCAUGGCCCACCCGGGGGUGACGCCGGCCCCCCAGAGCGGCUCGUGGCGCUGGCUGCUGGUAGCCGCGGUGGUGGCCAUGCUGGCGGCCACCAUGUUGCUGGCCUGGUGGCAUUGCCACCGCCGGCGCCACUCGGGCUCCACGUCCUUCGGGCCGUGGGCCGGCCCGGCCUUGGUGGCCGAGGACGAUGGCGGCGGUGGCACGGCCACGGUGACGCAGCCGCUGGUGGCCACCGUGGCCACCAUGCAGCAGGAGCCCACGCUCAGCACCUUCCGGGCCACCUCCGGCUCCAUGGCCAUGGAGGAGCUGCCAGGACCCAAAGGGGAAGAAGCCCCGGCCAAUGGGGAUCCUGGGGCUCAGGCCACGCCCCCUACUUAG